rnacentral:rRNA from 1 species
UACAGAGGGGGCAAGCGUUGUUCGGAAUUACUGGGCGUAAAGGGCGCGUAGGCGGCCUUCUAAGUCAGACGUGAAAUCCCUCGGCUCAACCGGGGAACUGCGUCUGAGACUGGAAGGCUUGAAUUCGGGAGAGGGAUGUGGAAUUCCAGGUGUAGCGGUGAAAUGCGUAGAUAUCUGGAGGAACACCGGUGGCGAAGGCGGCAUCCUGGACCGAGAUUGACGCUGAGGCGCGAAAGCCAGGGGAGCAAACGGG